ensembl:snoRNA
GAGACUAUACUUUCAGGGAUCAUUUCUAUAGUUUGUUACUAGAGAAAUUUCUCUGUGUAGAGCACUGGAAACCACGAGGAGGAGGUGUAGUGUUCUCUCCUGAGCAUGAAGCUGGCUUGGGUGCUGCUCUUAAGCAGCUGCCUUUGGCCACUGAUGACCAUUCUGCUUUGCCUCUGGUGGAGUUGGAGGGAGAGAACACAGUAUGAGUGGUU